rnacentral:rRNA from 1 species
AGAGUUUGAUCAUGGCUCAGAUUGAACGCUGGCGGCAUGCCUUACACAUGCAAGUCGAACGGCAGCACGGGAGCAAUCCUGGUGGCGAGUGGCGAACGGGUGAGUAAUACAUCGGAACGUGCCCAGUAGUGGGGGAUAGCCCGGCGAAAGCCGGAUUAAUACCGCAUACGACCUAUGGGUGAAAGCGGGGGAUCGCAAGACCUCGCGCUAUUGGAGCGGCCGAUGUCGGAUUAGCUAGUUGGUGGGGUAAAGGCCUACCAAGGCGACGAUCCAUAGCUGGUCUGAGAGGAUGAUCAGCCACACUGGGACUGAGACACGGCCCAGACUCCUACGGGAGGCAGCAGUGGGGAAUAUUGGACAAUGGGCGCAAGCCUGAUCCAGCCAUGCCGCGUGAGUGAUGAAGGCCCUAGGGUUGUAAAGCUCUUUCACCGGUGAAGAUAAUGACGGUAACCGGAGAAGAAGCCCCGGCUAACUUCGUGCCAGCAGCCGCGGUAAUACGA